CUUCCGCCGGCGACCGGCGCACGGGUGAGUAACACGUAUGCAACCUGCCCCUGUCAGGGGGACAACCCGCCGAAAGGCGGGCUAAACCCGCGUACAUGCCACCGGGGCAUCCCGGAGGCAGGAAAGGCUUCGGCCGGACAGGGAUGGGCAUGCGGCGCAUUAGGCAGUAGGCGGGGUAACGGCCCACCUAACCGACGAUGUGUAGGGGUUCUGAGAGGAAGGUCCCCCACACUGGGACUGAGACACGGCCCAGACUCCUACGGAAGGCAGCAG
rnacentral:rRNA from 1 species